GGAGCGGUGGCCGAGAGGUCGAAGGCAGCGGUCUUGAAAACCGUAGCACCCGUAAGGGUGCCGUGGGUUCGAUUCCCACCCGCUCCGCCA
rnacentral:tRNA from 1 species